rnacentral:lncRNA from 1 species
GGGGUGGCUAGGAAAAACUCCCUAGAAAGGCCAGGAACCUAGGAAGAAACCUAGAGAGGAACCAGGCUAUGAGGGGGUGGCUAGGAAAAACUCCCUAGAAAGGCCAGGAACCUAGGAAGAAACCUAGAGAGGAACCAGGCUAUGAGGGGGUGGCCAGUCCUCAUGAUCUGACAAACAUCUUUCAGCGGAGAUGCGGAAGUGCGAAUUUGGCAGAUACGGUGGAUUGAAACGCGUCCAAUUGCAAAAUACAGUUGAAGUCGGAAGUUUACGUACACUUACUAGGUUGGAGUCAUUAAAACUCGUUUUUAAACCACUGCACACAUUUCUCAGAAAAGCUGAGUUUAAAUAUAUUUGGCUAAGGUGUAUGUAAACUUUCGACUUUAACUGUGUAUCAGAUAUCUCUAACUUUAACUGACUGAUUUUGAUGGGGGUUAUAUAAAUGUUAAUUACACUGGCUAAGCAGAAAUCGACUCUAGGGGGUUUAAACAGUGUGUGUUUGAGAAUGUGCCAUUGGGUUGGUCUAUUUCAUAUGUCUCCAUAGAUACCAGCCAUUAGUCUGAUCAAUGAGAGAUGAGCCGGAGCUGUAUAGAAAAUGUCUCUAGAGUCCGAUUGGUCAGAGCAUCAAACUAUUAAAAAUGUCUCUGGAGUUUUGAUUGGUCAGAGCUGCAAACUAUUAAAAGCUAAAUCUGAACAGCUGACACUCUCACGAACAUGUGACAUGUUUUGCUCUAUGAUGCUACACAACAACAGUUGUUAGACUGUAAGGGGUUCUUCUACAUAGACCAUAGUAAAUCCCAGGUCAUAGUGUCUAUAAUACUGUAAGGGGUUCUUCUACAUAGUAAAUCCCAGGACAUAGUGUCUAUAAUACUGUAAGGGGUUCUUCUACAUAGUAAAUCCCAGGACAUAGUGUCUAUAAUACUGUAAGGGGUUCUUCUACAUAGACCAUAGUAAAUCCCAGGACAUAGUGUCUAUAAUACUGUAAGGGGUUCUUCUACAUAGUAAAUCCCAGGACAUAGUGUCUAUAAUACUGUAAGGGGUUCUUCUACAUAGACCAUAGUAAAGCCCAGGACAUAGUAUCUAUAAUACUGUAAGGGGUACUUCUACAUAGAACCAUAGUAAAUCCCAGGACAUAGUGUCUAUAAUACUGUAAGGGGUUCUUCUACAUAGAAGACCAUAGUAAAUCCCAGGUCAUAGUGUCUAUAAUACUGUAAGGGGUACUUCUACAUAGACCAUAGUAAAUCCCAGGACAUAGUGUCUAUAAUACUGUAAGGGGUUCUUCUACAUAGACCAUAGUAAAUCCCAGGACAUAGUGUCUAUAAUACUGUAAGGGGUUCUUCUACAUAGUAAAUCCCAGGACAUAGUGUCUAUAAUACUGUAAGGGGUUCUUCUACAUAGACCAUAGUAAAUCCCAGGACAUAGUGUCUAUAAUACUGUAAGGGGUUCUUCUACAUAGACCAUAGUUAAUCCCAGGUCAUAGUGUCUAUAAUACUGUAAGGGGUUCUUCUACAUAGACCAUAGUAAAUCCCAG